CACACACACACACACAUGGACACACCCACACACCCACCCACACACGCACACACACAUGCACACAGGAGACUGGAAACUGAACCAGAUACACCCACUGUUCAGGAGCAGCUGGCCAGGGAUCUGUGGGAGGCUGUAAACAAUGAUAAUGUCAGCAAAGUGAGGUCCGUUUUGGGACAGGGGGCCAACCCAAAUCACCAGCUCUACUGGAGUGAGGAGUGGAGGACGAAUGAUAGACGCCCUCCAGUACACCGAGCAUGCUGGAGGGGCUACCUGGAGAUCACUAGAGCACUCGUUAGUGGUGGAGCUGAUAUAGAGAAAGGUGAUAGACGAUGGGGCAGGACUGCAUUUCACUGGGCGUGUAGGGGAGGACAUAUGGAGACUGUGGUGUAUUUAUCACAAGAGAUGAAAUGUCGUAUUGAUGUGAGGGACGAGUGGGACGUAACACCACUGCACCAGGCUUGUUUGGGAGGAAGUAUACAAGUUGUAAAAUACUUUGUGGAGGUACUCAAGGUUGAUGUUGAUGUGACUGAUGUUAAUGGCAAGACUCCUCUUGACAAGGCAGUAGUGGGUUGUAAAACUGAAGUUAUCGAUUAUCUCCAGUCUAUACAGCCCUCCACUCCUGAACCAGAUACUCGAAAUGGUUCCGAACAACUUCUUUCUAAUUCAAUUGUUGACAUGACCUCAUCAAUGACCUCUGACCCUCUGUCUGGUCAACAGACACCCAGUGCUGGCGAUGAACAACCAGAAACAAUUGAUACUCAAAAUGAUUCCACACAACUUUCAACGGAUGACCAAACCUUGUCAAGCACUCCAUUGACUGAGGAAGACUCUGAUGCUCUAGAAAAGCUGCUCCUAGACAACAAAAUCUCUUUGACUGGUGAAAGGACAUAUGAGACAGUAGUUCACCACCUUCGUGAGCUCGGACAUAUGGAACUUGCAGCCAACCUGAGGGAAAACCUCGACAAAGUUAUCAAAUGGCAGCGUCGAUACCUCGAUAGACUCAUGACUCUAAUGGUUGAUAAAGAAACAAUCGAUAUGUGCACUCUGAAACUGUGUCUCGUUGGUCCGCCUCACGUUGGGAAGACAACCACACUCAAUCGUCUACUGCAAGUGUAUGAAAACAUUCAAUCAGCUGGAGACAAAGCGAAACAUCCAAGCACUCUACUAGCUAACUGUAUCCAAGUUAUGGCGUUGAUUAAUAAAGAUGAGUGGAUAUCUUCCAAGGAUGUCGAUGAAGAAGCCAAGAUGAUAUUUGGUUAUCUAUGUGGCAAUUUAACUCUCGAUGAAAUAGAUAUACCCAAUGAAGAAUCGACAAAGGCCACCCGAUCUGAAGAAACAGUACCUUACAAAGUCCACACACAAACUGUACAACAAGCCACACUUACCGACUCUGAGGAUAAAGCCGCUGUAACCCACAGCAACAAACUAGCACAGGUCAUUCUUCGACUGCAAAAGCUGAUAAAGAGCGGAAACUACUCCCAAAUGGCCAAAUGUCUUGGCAACACCUUGCUGAACAUAAACGAUGUCGGAGGCCAACCAGAAUUCCUAGAAAUGCUACCAGCCCUGAGCAAUGGUCCUGCCAUGUAUCUAGUGUUCUUGGAUCUGAGCAAGGAACUUGACAAGCCCUACAAGAUUCCAUUCUGUCGUGAUGGUAAAGUCAUCACUCCUUAUAAAUCAAUGCACACAGUGAAAACCGCAGUCUCUCAAAUCCUCUCAUCCAUUGCUAGUGUGCGUCACAUGUCGGAAAUUUCGAAGCCUCUCUUAAAAACUCCUCAGUUGAAGGAAAAAUUUGAAGCUUUUCUCACUGUCCCUCCAGUGGCAGCCCUAAUAGGUACCCACAAGGAUAAGCUUGGUGGAGUCUCAACAGAUGGUCCAGAAAAAGAAAAAUUGACCAGAGACAAACUGCUAGAGAUAAACGCAGCAUUGAAGCCAACAACCAAAACUUUCGAGAAAAUUUUAGUUUUUCCCAAGCAAGAAAGUAACACUUCUGAUGACACUGCUGAUAAAGAUGCUUCUGACAGGAUGUCCUUUUUUGCCCUAGAUAACAAUAAAGGCACAGAGAACGCUGAAAUUUCUCCGUUACGUGGCUUAUUGAAUAAACUAUUUUACUUUCACUUCGGCAAAACCUCUCUUCCAAUAUCAAAAAAUUGGCUUGUACUAGGAAUUAUUCUUCGAAAGGAAUAUCAAAUUGUCACAGUAGAAGAUUGUAUCGAAAUAGGCAAAAGGUUGGAGAUGGAUGAAGAAGAAACCACAAUUUGCCUCCUCUACCUUCAUAGUAUAGGAUCGAUCCUGUACUAUACGGAUGUUCCCAAUGAUGAUGAUCCCCGCUGGCUCCUCAAAGGUCAUGUCAUCUGCUUACCUCAAGUGAUCUUUGAUAGCAUAAGCCAACUGAUAAUCGUUUCAAUGCAGAAUGUUCAUGGUGGAGGCCUCAACACUGAGUUUGAGGUAGCAGAAUUGAUCAUGAAAGGUCAGUUCACACUAGAGGCCAUCGAGAGACAUUGCAAACUAGAUGUUGAAGUUUCCAAAAAGCUGAAAAACAAUUUACUGAUACCAUCUGGACCGCUUGUGAAACUUCUCAAGUACCUCAACCUUCUCUCUGAGAUCACACACAAAGAUGAAGAUGGUGAACGAAUCACGUACCUCAUGCCAGCUAUCUUGAAGUGUGCUUCACAAGACGAGCUGACCAAGCCACCUCAACCAGACACCAACAACCCAGAACCACUCCACGUCACAUUCAGCUUUGGUUACGUACCAACAGGAGUCUUCUGUGGGCUCAUCACUCGACUAGUUUCCCAAGGCCCUCAUGGAAUUCUCGGAUUGACGUGGGAAUUGAUGGAAGAUGGCGUCAAACGAAAUUAUGUGGAAUUUCUAGUUGCCAAAUCAAACAAGAUCACGUUGCUAGCACAUGCUCGAUGCUACGAAAUUAGAGUUGUCCGUCGUCUCUGUCAGGUCUCUCUCCAUGAUCUUUGUACCUACGUUCUCUCGGUGAUGCUCUACACGCUCAAAAGCCUUUACCCACAGUUGGUUCCACAAAUUGCAUUCCAAUGUCCGUGCCCUGAUCACCAGACGAGUGGAGGUAUGGAUAAUCUGUGUGUCCUUGCUAAGGAUUUCUGGGUCCAGUUUCUCUGUAGACACAAGCCAGUCACUCUCAGGAAAUAUCAGCAAGUGUGGCUGGGAAAGGUUGCCAGCAUUGGUCAGAAGGCAAGCUUGUGUGUGCUUAAGUUUGUUAGAAAUCCUGCAAAGCAGUUUUCCUUUGAUUGGAGUAAAGUGGGAGAUGAUGACACAGCACCUGUUCCCAGCAAACCCAACACUGUGAGCUUCCCGAGUGUGAGAGAGGAGGACUUUGGUCACUACCAGUGUGAGGUGAAGGAUGCAGCUGCUGGGAAAGUGCUCCUCACUCUCUACACAGCUCUCUACAAACACCAGUCAAAUCCUCUAGCCUCAGGCCAGCGCAAAAGGUCAUUGCCAUCAGAUGUAGAAGUUGAAUCUCUGUCGAAGCGUCCAAAGAAUGAUGUCACUGUACAAGAAUCAUCAUCAGAGAAGGAUACUAGCAAUGGAGGAAGUACACACCAGUCGAUUGUUCUGACUGGAGAUGAUAUUCAAGCAAUUCGCGAGAGUCUCAAGAAUGCAAGCAAAGAUUGGUUUAAUUUAGGAUUGGCUUUCGGAGUGAAGAUUAACGUUUUGGAAAACAUUGAAGAUGAUUACCGUCAUAACGAUCGCCGCCUAAUGAAGGUGGUAGCCAAGCGUCUUGAAGUCACUGAUCCAGAACAUCCGAUGACAUGGCCUUACAUAUGUGAAUGUCUAAGGAGGCCUACUGUUGCACGUAACGAUGUAGCCGAGGAAAUUGAAGACAAGUAUGUGAGGACAGCAACUGCAGUUGCUCAUAGUGCCACCAAUUGAUCAUGAGAACCUGACAAGGUAUGGAAUUCACUUGAAUUAUGGGGACGAAUAAACAUUGCAAGUAAAGAACUGACUCUGAAACUGACUCUGUAUUAUUAUACUGACACAAUGUUGUCUAUAAUUAUACCCUUUAAUUAUAAAAUAAUGUGACAUGAAUUAUUUUAUUUGAGUUCAAGCUGUCUUCCAUUGUUCCUGGUAAGGAAUCACUUCAGUUGCAGCUUCUUAUAGAAGUAUUUAUAAAUGAGGUGUUUGUUUGAUGAUCCUUACCCACUAGCCAAUGGAUCAAUACUGAAAGUACUUGCACUAGCGCUACUCGCAAGCACGGCGCUGCUAUUACUAACCGUCUACCUCAACAACACAAGUCUCUCCUGUCAUAAAGAGCUACCACGAGUACAGCAUCCUGUACAGAAAGUUAUCGGUGGUCAGGUAUCCAGCGCUGAACAGAAUAUUGACCAGCGACUACUCUUUGAAAGACCUAUCAAAUGGUUGGUUGCAGGAAUAUGAAGCGUCUCAUGCUGUACAUGAGUGACAGUCUUACCAAUGUACACUCUGGAUUGGCCCUGGGUAGACUACAACAAGUUGCUAGUACGUUCCACGUUCUGUGUGCAGUGUACAAAACUGUAUAGUGGCCAGAGAACAAGUAAAUGAAAACUAGAAGUGUCUACUCUGAAAUAAUGUUCUCUCUCUCUCCUUCAACGAACAUCAGCGAAUCUUUCAAGAAAUUGGGAAUUAAAGAGACUUCACAAAAUAUUCUCCUAGUGGCACUGCAUUCAAAUGAGGCUGAUGCAAAGGCGUCUGAUUUAUUGGGCAUGAUUGAGGGUGACCUAACACCAUUGCAAGGCAUCCACUCGUGUAAUAAUACACAGAGUAUAAUCAAGGAGCACAAGAUUCCUCCUGAAGGGCUGACUCACUAGAGAACUGUGUAGUUACUAGGCUAGUCAUCAAACACGUUACCUAGGUCACCACAGUUAAUGUGUUAUUGUUUAUUGUGUGGUGGCUAUAAUCAUUAUCAAGAGUUCAUGAA